GACAGAGGCCACGAACGUUGCUCGGAAUCACUGGGCGUAAAGCGCACGUAGGCGGAUUGUUAAGUCAGGGGUGAAAUCCUGGAGCUCAACUCCAGAACUGCCUUUGAUACUGGCAGAUCUCGAGUCCGGGAGAGGUGAGUGGAACUGCGAGUGUAGAGGUGAAAUUCGUAGAUAUUCGCAAGAACACCAGUGGCGAAGGCGGCUCACUGGCCCGGUACUGACGCUGAGGUGCGAAAGCG
rnacentral:rRNA from 1 species